AGACCGUGAUGUGGGCAGAGCCUCAUCAUAUCCUUAUAUCUCUCCUAAGCUCCAAAAAGCGACUCACCAUAUUUCUGUUUGAAACUAUUUAUUUGGCUCCUUAGCAU